GAUGAACGCUGGCGGCGUGCCUAAUACAUGCAAGUCGAGCGAACAGACGAGGAGCUUGCUCCUCUGACGUUAGCGGCGGACGGGUGAGUAACACGUGGAUAACCUACCUAUAAGACUGGGAUAACUUCGGGAAACCGGAGCUAAUACCGGAUAAUAUAUUGAACCGCAUGGUUCAAUAGUGAAAGACGGUUUUGCUGUCACUUAUAGAUGGAUCCGCGCCGCAUUAGCUAGUUGGUAAGGUAACGGCUUACCAAGGCAACGAUGCGUAGCCGACCUGAGAGGGUGUGGGGCCAAACGGAAAAGAGACACGGGCCAAGACACAGCGGGGGGGAGGAAGAGGGAAAUCUGCAGAAAGGGGCAAAGGCCGGAGGAAGAACCCCCGCGGGAGGAAGAAAGGUCUUAGAAUCGAAAAACUUUUUUAUAAGGAAAAAAAAAAGGUGAAAGAAACAAGGCGCGUUUGAAGGGACCCAAAUAAAAAAACCAGGCAAAACCACGGA
rnacentral:rRNA from 1 species